rnacentral:rRNA from 1 species
AAUCAACGCUGGCGGCGUGCCUCAGACAUGCAAGUCGAACGAUUAAAGCUCUCUUCGGAGAGUGCAUAGAGUGGCGCACGGGUGGGUAACACGUAAGUAAUCUACCUUCGAGUGGGGAAUAACAGUCGGAAGCGACUGCUAAUACCGCAUAAUGCAGCGGCAUCGCAAGAUGACAGUUGUUAAAGGAGCAAUCCGCUUGAAGAGGAGCUUGCGGCAGAUUAGCUAGUUGGUAAGGUAAUGGCUUACCAAGGCAACGAUCUGUAACCGACCUGAGAGGGUGGUCGGUCACACUGACACUGAAUAACGGUCAGACUCCUACGGAGGCAGCAGUCGGGAAUUUUGGGUCAAUGGGCGCAAGCCUGACCCAGCAACGCCGCGUGAAGGAUGAAGUCUUUC